AGUCAAUAGUCAACACUAACUUCUCCCCUUGUUUUUGUUUCAAUAAGCCUAUAUUACAUUUUCACCCAGCACAGGGCAGUGGACUAAAAUUAUUCAACAAAAGAAAAUAGUUCAACAGCAUUGAAUAUGGCCGUCUCGAAAUCCGGUGCCGGAGAAUUCUUUCCAGACAAUAAGCAUGUCAGAAACUCUUUAGUCCCCGUUGGUGCUUUUAUUACCACUGGUGUGCUAACGGCUAGAUUGAUUAGUUUUAGACGAGGUAACUCUCAUUUAGGGCAGAAACUAAUGAGGGCUCGUGUGGUGGUCCAAGGCGCUACGGUGGCUCUUGUGGUUGGCACUGCCUAUUAUUAUGGAACCCAAUUUUGUCAAGUCGGAUCAGUUUGAAUUUAAGUUAAAAAAAUAUUAAGCCUAAUUCAAACCUAAUCAAAUACAUACAUUUUAAUUGGCUCGAGUAUAUUUUUCGUUUAAAUUCAAUCCCACUCGAUCCUAUAACACUUCUACUAAAUGAUGAGCACAUUGUGGUGGGAACUGGGACAUGAUGAGCACAUUAUGGUUGCUUAGAAUUAAUAUGUCAUUGAUACGAGUCCAAGUACCAACUCUGGCUCAAUGGAGGAGACUAUAGAUGAUGAAGAGAUGUUUGGGUUAAGUAAUUCAGGUCUCCAAUAGAAGAACGAAAGGGAAAUGAGGCAGCCACAUUGGAAGAAGGACUACGAGCGUGAAGGAGCGUAGCAGGGAAAUAAUGCUUGAGACAAUAGCAAUAGUUAGUUAUAUAACCACCUAGUAGAGAGAGUCAUAUAUAGCAUGGAAUGUAGUCACAAAAGGCAUGUAAGAAAUAUCAUAUAUU